rnacentral:rRNA from 1 species
AUACGGAGGAUCUGAGCGUUAUCCGGAUUUAUUGGGUUUAAAGGGUGCGCAGGCGGCCAUUUAAGUCAGCGGUUAAAUCGUGGGGCUCAACCCCAUUCUGCCGUUGAUACUGGGUGGCUUGAUUGCGGUCGAGGUUGGCGGAAUUCGUUGUGUAGCGGUGAAAUGCAUAGAUAUGACGAAGAACACCGAUUGCGUAGGCAGCUGACCAGACCGCAAAUGACGCUCAUGCACGAAAGUGCGGGGAUCGAACAGGAUUAGAUACCCUGGUAGUCCGCACAGUAAACGAUGAAUACUUGUUUUCGGCGAUAUAAUGUCGGAGGCAAAGCGAAAGCGAUAAGUAUUCCACCUGGGGAGUACGCCGGCAACGGUGAAACUCAAAUGAAUUGACGGGG